GUGGGGAAUAUUGCACAAUGGGCGCAAGCCUGAUGCAGCCAUGUCGCGUGUGUGAAGAAGGCCUUCGGGUUGUAAAGCACUUUCAGCGGGGAGGAAGGCGGUGAGGUUAAUAACCUCAUCGAUUGACGUUACCCGCAGAAGAAGCACCGGCUAACUCCGUGCCAGCAGCCGCGGUAAUACGGAGGGUGCAAGCGUUAAUCGGAAUUACUGGGCGUAAAGCGCACGCAGGCGGUCUGUCAAGUCGGAUGUGAAAUCCCCGGGCUCAACCUGGGAACUGCAUUCGAAACUGGCAGGCUAGAGUCUUGUAGAGGGGGGUAGAAUUCCAGGUGUAGCGGUGAAAUGCGUAGAGAUCUGGAGGAAUACCGGUGGCGAAGGCGGCCCCCUGGACAAAGACUGACGCUCAGGUGCGAAAGCGUGGGGAGCAAACAGGAUUAGAAACCCCGGUAGUCC
rnacentral:rRNA from 1 species